UUAAUUUAAUAUAUGAGUACAUUUGGUUUAAAAAUAAGUUUGACUUAUUGUUAUGUACAUAGAUGGUGAUAUUUAAGAUCUCUAAGCGUCACCAUUUUAAUAGUUUGAUUUGUAUAUGUGGUAUCAUGUAUGGGGGUUUGAGAACUUUGAAUAAAGCAAAUAUACUUUCUCUUUGGGAACCUAGAUUUGCCAGUGCAAAAGGAGUUUAAAGAGAGCAAGUGUGCCAGAGAGUAAAACCAGGGGCACAUCUGCCUGAAUUUCUUCACUAUAAGUCAUCAGAAGAGGGCUUUUGCAAAUGAUUUUGCAUGACACCCUCCUUCAGAUCAGUGAUUCUCUGUAAAAUGAGCAAUUUUUUAAUAACAACUUUCACACAAGUCUUCCAAAGUUAUAUGAUCCACAUUGCCCCCCUGCCUUCUGUGCUUCCCCCCUCCCAGAGCUGACAAGCAAUUCAGUCUGGGUUAUACAUGUAUUAUCACAUAAAACAUAUUUCCACAAUAUUCAUUUUUGUAAGUGAAUAAUCUAAAACCUGAACCUCAAAUCACACACCCAAAUAAACAAGUGAUAAAUCAUAUGUUUUCAUCUGCAUUUCUGCUCCCACAGUUCUUUCUCUGGAGGUGGAGAGCAUUCUUCCUCCCAAGUCCUCAGAAUUGUCUGAAUCACUGCAUUGCUGUUAGUAGCAAAGUCUGUCACAUUUGAUCAGUCCACAAUAUUGCAGUUGCUGUGAAUAAUGAUCUUGCGGUUCUGCUUACUUCACUCCACAUCAAUUCAUAAUUUAUUUCUAGUCAUCACAGCCCCUUUCUCCCGUCUCCAUACCAUAGAAGGCAUCAUCUGGCAAACAAACAAACAUGGAUAUGUAGAUGAUAUCUUUCAUGCUUCCACUUCUCAGUUCAUUCUCUGGAGAAUUUCUACGGGAAGAUGCUUCACAUGACUGCGCAUGUAGAAUCCAGGUGAGAUUGUUUACCCGCUCAAGGAGAGAAUUUGAGACUCAAUAUUCUUUGGAAACGUUCAUUGUAAUCAAAGGGAAA
rnacentral:lncRNA from 1 species